CCUACGGGAGGCAGCAGUGGGGAAUAUUGGACAAUGGGGGCAACCCUGAUCCAGCCAUGCCGCGUGUGUGAAGAAGGCCCUCGGGUUGUAAAGCACUUUCAGUGAGGAAGAACGCCUGGUGGUUAAUACCCAUCAGGAAAGACAUCACUCACAGAAGAAGCACCGGCUAACUCCGUGCCAGCAGCCGCGGUAAUACGGAGGGUGCGAGCGUUAAUCGGAAUUACUGGGCGUAAAGCGCGCGUAGGUGGCUUGAUAAGCCGGUUGUGAAAGCCCCGGGCUCAACCUGGGAACGGCAUCCGGAACUGUCAAGCUAGAGUGCAGGAGAGGAAGGUAGAAUUCCCGGGGUAGCGGUGAAAUGCGUAGAGAUCGGGAGGAAUACCAGUGGCGAAGGCGGCCUUCUGGACUGACACUGACACUGAGGUGCGAAAGCGUGGGUAGCAAACAGGAUUAGAUACCCGAGUAGUC
rnacentral:rRNA from 1 species